GUGACCUAAUGGCUCAAAAUCACUUUGAAACAAUUAUAAUAGUCUCUAUAGAUGAGGCACAGACAUUUUUUUUUCGAUCUAAAGUAAUUAUUAAUUAAAAAAAAAAAAAUUAGAUAGGAAAUUGAGGACUUUAAUUCUAUAGUUUCCAGGUUAUGUCACGUAUGCAUCUGCAGUCGGUCUUUCGUAACAGGAUUUCCGUUUGUAUGAUGUUCGAGACAGACUAAGGUUGACAAUGGAAAGGUUUAUUCAUCUCUGGAACAGUAUAAAGAUAAACCAAAGGUACAAUUGCAGCCUUAAGUAGUGUCUGCUCUGAAGGGUCAAACCACCUUUCAUUAAUUUAGAAUUUUAUGUCAUCUAAAUAAAUGCAUUUUAAAAAUGCAAACACACAUAUUUCUAGUUGGUUUUUAAUAUUUUAUGUAUUACUCUUAAGCAAUAAGCACUGUUAUGAAAUACCACAAACUCACCACCCACAUUUAUAUGGCCUCUCCUGUAAUAUAUAAAUAGUGUUUGAACAAACGGAAAAAGAAAACGAAGAGAGGUGAGUCAGUCCAACUUAGCACUUAUGACACUUAAUAGACUGUACACAAAGUUUAUUUUUUAGUAAACCGUAGCAUUACUUUCACUUGUCUUUCUCUAACAAUUUUCUUCCCCUACCAGAUAAUCACCUCACUUUUCAAAGAGCAGUUGUGCAGACCCUGGAACAAAAGGAUCAAUUGUAAUUAUUGAAAUAUCAAAUAAAUCCUUAAAAAUUAUUGUGUGUAAAUGGUUAUUGAUGCAAAUCUAUGCUUAAAGUGUAGUUCUAAAUAGAGUAAUUUUUAAAGGUAUAAGGUGUAAUAGGUGCUGUCAAAGUGCUCUCUGUAUAUGUACAUUUAUAAGUUUGUAUAAGUACACAUGGAUAAUAUAUAAAAAAUACAUAUGAAAAAUCCUCAUGAAACACACUCGAUACCAGUAGGUGGCGUUAAUGCUCCAAAACUUGUUUUUAUUUUUGACAAUCUCCAAAGAAGAAGAAGUAGAAAACGAAGCGCACCUGAUAACGCGUUUCAUAGCUCUUGUCAAAAUGGGCCGUUUCAGGAAAGGACAGAGCGAUAAAAAUCGAAAUCUUUGGGAAACAGCAGGUGGCAUUGAUGCCAUAAUUAAGUGUUUCAUUUCGUUGAAGUUUAGCGAGGCAGUUCCAACUUAUGACCAAUGGUUAUCGCUUGUUUUUUAUCUAUUUAAAAGUAAUGAUAAAAAAUAUUUGAAGUGGUUGAAGGUCAUUUGGGCUUCAGAUCGCAAAGGAAUCCGGCGAAGGUGCUUAAUGCAGGUACUGUUUUUUUUUUUUUUUUGCUAUUUACACUGUUGUUACAGUAUUCUUUGCAUAUUUUUUGUGUCAAAAGAUGGAAAUGACAGUGAGACCCAAAAUCAAACAGAGAGUAGUACAGAACAAGAACAUUCUGUUUACUACACAGGACAAAAUACCAUGCAGGACAGUGAACAGUCAUUGGACAAAGCUAAAUUACAUGUAAAACAACCACAGUCAGAACAGCAGACAGGAUAUAAUGAUGAAAAUGACGAUAUAACAGAGGAUGCAAAAGUUACAAAAUCAAAGAAACAUCUCAAAAGAAAAAUAAGGGACAGAAUAGGUCAGGCAAUUGUUCAGCCCCAUGAAUGUUUGGACACACAGAGUAGUACAGCACAAGAUGCGUACUCUGACGACACAGGACAAAAUACCACUGAGAACAGGGAGCCGUCACAGGACAAAGUAGAAGUCAAUAAAAAAAAGCCAGAUUCACAACAACAGACAGGACAGGAGGAAACAAAAGAGGCUCAGAAUGCGAACAGAACAGAGGAAAGAACAGAGGAUGGAAAUGAUGACCUGAAACGUGCUACAUCUAGAAUAAAUCCAAAAAAGACAAUGGACAAAAAGGAACAACAUAAACACAGCAAAAGUGACUACAGACAAUGCAAGGCAGGCCCCCGUAAUUUUAAAAUAAAGAUAACAAGAAAAGAAUGGAAAAAAAUCAAACCCAAACAUCGACAAAGUCAAUUACGUCACCCUUGGACUGAGAUAUUAUAUUAUCAAUUCAACAAAAUAAAUCCAUGUUGUACACUUUCCUUUAAAUAUCAACACGUGAAACUCAGCAGCAGCCGUAAAAAAAAGUGUCCAUUUUUUAUUGCUCGUGCCAAAUGCACCUUUAAUGGAUGCAAUGCAAUUUAUACUUUUAGUAAGAAGAACAUCCCUAAACCAUUUGACAGCGAAAUCUCUUUUAUUGUGAAACGGCUUGGUUCGGUGACACACCGUAAAAAAGAAUGGAGAUUCAGACCAGCAAAAUACUUAAAAAGAGGUAAGAUAGCCAAAGCUGUAGCAGAUGGUGUCAGUAAAUACUACUAUUCAAAGUUGAGGCAGACACCAAUCCAAGAAAUCACAGCGGGGAACAUUACGAAAAGCCUCACUAAAGAUGUUUUAAGAAAAAUUUCAUCAGAAUUAAAGAAGAGUACAAGACUCCAUGAUGACAUAAUACUUGAGCUCGUGUUAACACAAAAACUGAUUAAAGAAACAAGCAUUAAUUCAAACUCCAAGGGAUAUUUCCAACAACUUCACAUUGACCCUUUUGCAGUGCAUUUACAAACAGACACUGGAUUACAGAUAUUGGCCCACCAUCUAAGAAAUUCAUCACCUGUUACCCCCCACCUUGAUGCCACAGGGAGUGUUGUACAAAAAAUACCUGGUCAGGAAAAAAAAAUUCUGUAUUAUGCUAUGGUUUUGCCAGGGAUGGGCAAGGACAAACCUCCUUUGCCCAUAACUGAGCUACUGACCAACAGCCAUACUGUUCCUUCCAUUUCACACUGGUUGAUGGAAUUCAACAGAAAACUGACCCACACUACCAAAAUCAAAAUAGCACAGAUAGAAACUGACUACAGCUGGGCUCUCAUUAAUAGUGUGCUACUAGCCUUUAACAAGGAGGAUAUUUCACAGUACCUACAUAGAGCGUUUGAGAUUGUGCAUGAACAUAAAGUUGUAAUGAAAAACUUCACAGUAUUGCACUUGUGCUCUGCCCAUAUUAUGAAGGCUGUUACACAAGCUUUUGGGAAAAAGACCCGUGAUCGAGGCUUAAAAGAGUAUGCAAGCUAUUGUUUUGCAUCCCUUUUAAACUGCAAUAACCUCCAACUUGCCAUGGAGGUGUUUUACAACAUGUGUGUACUAUUUGAUGCAAAACAUUGCAACCCCUUAGUACAAACAAGUCAAGCAUACCUCAACAGCUGUAUCUCCAACAACAAGUCAGAGAAAGAUGAAGAUGGCCAGCAUACAGCAGAAGCACAACACAGCAAAAGUGACAAAAGCAACAGCAUUAUUGCUAACUCACCAUUUACAAAGACUUUCCAAGUUUUACGGGACCAAGCUCAGGUUGACAUUCUGUCCGAGGAAUCAGAGAUCACAGAAAAUCAUUACUGCUGUCCUGGUAUAGUUGAUGUGCUUGUGAAGAACUACAUGGGAAUCAUCCCACUGUGGAGCGGAAUGUUACUUGGCGACUUAACACGGUACAAAACACCCACAUCUGCUGCAACAAAUAAAACAAGCAAAUCAAGAGAAACAAACUGCCAUGUGGAGCUGUGGUUUGGCUUGGUAAAAAAGAACAUCUUGGCCAAAAAAAAGUACCUCAGACCAGCAGACUUCAUCACAAAAUUGUAUACAUCUUUACAAGGUCGGUAUGUUGAACAUGUUAUGCAGCAUGGUCUGCCAGACAAACUUCUGGACAAAACUGUCAGAGUUUUGACUAAACCGGCGGAUGAUCCCAAAGAAAAAUGGAACAAGAGGGAAAGUUCUGCUGGUCAGACAAAGACCAAAUCCAAGUAUUUCAAUCCCCCAAAGACAUUACCCAAUCCCAGAACUUCCAAAGGCACAAACAAACAAAUCACCAAAGCUGAUGAUGAUGAUAAUAAUAAAGAAUCACAGUUAACCUUGCUUUGGAAAAAGAGUGACACAGAAGUUGUAGUAGCAGUUGUUCCGUCACAGAUUAAAGGUCGGAGCAUUGUGAUUCAUCAUUCUGACUUGUGCACUCUUCGACCAUAUCAGUGGUUGACAGGGGAGAUCAUUGAAAGCCUUCUGCAUGUGGCUGCCCAUGCAUUGGGAGUCAUGGACACCUUCUACAUCCUGAAUCACUACUCAGCUGGUGUGAUUUUGUUCGGGGACAGAACUGAGCUUCCUAGACAAAGUUUACCAAAGGUAAACUUUGACAACUAUGAAGCAGUUCUGUCAUUUGUCCUUGUGAACAACAAUCACUGGAAGUUGCUGAGAAUACUUCAAAAUGAGAAGGACAUGCCAUGGAAAAACAGACUGGGUUGGGAUCCAAUGGAAAGGGGGGACAAUGCGCCACCCUAUUCAACAAGACGGAAGCAGCUGUGGAGUUAUUGUAGUCAAAAUGGCAAAAGCUUGGAUGGAAGCCUUCCCUCUGAUGCCAGAUGUAGAUUUUGACACAACAAAAAAGGCAAUGAAAAGUGAAAGAAGAACUCUCGCUCUUCAAAUCCUUGAUGCAUCAGUAUUCGAUGACCACUGUUGGUGUGCGAUGUGCGCUGCAUACAAAGCCCCGGGGUCUGGCCCUGGAAUGACAGACUGGAUCCAGUGUGACAACUGUGACCGAUGGUACCAUGCCCUGUGCAUAAAUAUGAAGAGCACAGAAUUUCAAAAGAAAAAAAAAGGCAGUUGGAAAUGUGUAUUGUGUCGUUAAUCUUGAAACUAGAAACUGUGUUCAUUAUUGUUCGAAAUACUUUUUGAAAAUAUCUGUGGAAAAUGAAAAUGUAAUAUGUUUGUUUGGCAUUGAUGCUAUGUGUGAUGUAUAAAGUGUACUUGAAUGAUUUCAAAGAGAUUUGAAGUCAUUUUAUGACGUAAUCUGAAAGCUAUUAAGCAACAAUCUUAAACUUUAAGGAAAAUAUUCCUAAGAAUUAUAAAAUAAAAACAUAAAACAUAAAUGACUGUGCCUCAUCUA